AUUGAACGCUGGCGGCAUGCUUUACACAUGCAAGUCGAACGGCAGCACGGGCUUCGGCCUGGUGGCGAGUGGCGAACGGGUGAGUAAUGCAUCGGAACGUACCGUGUAGUGGGGGAUAACGUAGCGAAAGUUACGCUAAUACCGCAUACGCCCUGAGGGGGAAAGUGGGGGAGCGCAAGGCCUCACGCUAUAUGAGCGGCCCAUGUCGGAUUAGCUAGUUGGUAGGGUAAAGGCCUACCAAGGCGACGAUCCGUAGCGGGUCUGAGAGGAUGAUCCGCCACACUGGGACUGAGACACGGCCCAGACUCCUACGGGAGGCAGCAGUGGGGAAUUUUGGACAAUGGGCGCAAGCCUGAUCCAGCCAUGCCGCGUGAGUGAAGAAGGCCUUCGGGUUGUAAAGCUCUUUCAGACGGAAAGAAAUCUCCCGGGAUAAUACCUUGGGAGGAUGACGGUACCGUAAGAAGAAGCACCGGCUGACUACGUGCCAGCAGCCGCCGCCGUAA
rnacentral:rRNA from 1 species